GCCAUGUUGUAAGGACACUCAAGCUGCUCUAUGGAGAGGUCCACAUGGUGAGGAACUGAGGCCUCUGGCCAACAGCCACGUGAGUGUGCCAUCUUGGGAAAGGAUCUGCCAGCCCCAGUCAAGCCUUCAGAUACCUGCCACCCUGCCCAGCAUCUUGACUGCAACCUCAUGAAAGACCUUGAGCCAGAACCUUCCAGGGGCAUCAUCUACUCUGCCCAAACCAGGCGCUACCAAGGGCAGUGAAAUUGCUUUGAUUGACUUGGCCUAAGGACAUGUACCUGUGGUGGCCAUGGAGCUGCACCGCUCAGAUCUCCCUUCAAGAGAACCUGCUGUGGGGAGGGAAUCAUAAAUCCGGUUCUGAUUAUCGCCACACACACAGAUCCUUCUCAAAGAUUCAGAGUCUUAUUCUUUUAUCUCUUCCCUAAAAUACGAUCUAAUUUACAAAACUUUGACUUACAACUCCGCCAGAAGCCCAGCUGGCGUGUGAAGUGAUGCACUCUGCAGCCGGCAGCACUGAAAAGCACCGGCCUCCCGGGAACCCAGCAAGGACCGUGAUCUUCAGUUAU
rnacentral:lncRNA from 1 species